AGAAUAUUCAGCAAAAUCUUUUGAGCUUGCUGGGGGUGGUGAAAGGAUAGCAAUGAUGCUUUUCUUGCUAGUCGAAAAAACCCAACCUCUGCUUAUUUCAGCAAGCAAGAAAUAAAACUACUGUGGGUCUCACAGUGUGUCUCUUCACAGGCCUCCUCUUCUCCAGUCAUACUCCUCUUUCCCAAAAGCAUUGUUUUCACUUUCCCCACUGCAAAACUCUCUCUUCUCUCUCUCUCCUUUCUACCAAAGCUGUUCUUCCUUUUCCUAGAAAAUCCUUGCUUCUCACUUUUUCCUCAGUCUUUUAAAUACCAACUGCUCCCCGGCUCGGUUCUUCCCUAUUCCACCCCAAAUGAGUGGAAUUUGGCCCCAUAUCGACCUCCUGGACAGGACCCCAAACUCAGGGUUCACAGGAGUGCCCAUCUGAGGAUUUCAGUGCAAAAGGCACUGUUUUAUUCUCUUCCAUACCAUUUUAAGCAAAGGGCUGGAUUACCCAGAUAAUGACAGUAUUUGAGCCCCAACGAUCUCACAGUUUCUGUAAUGAAUUGGCUGGAGUAUUCCUGAGAGCUGCACUUUGCUAAAGCCCCUGCAUUGAUUAUCAUUUUAUUCCAUUAGCACGACAUUUCAGUGGAGUCAAAACCUCUCUCUUCACGCUGCCUGUCACUCAGAUGAGUGAAGUUGGCCCAUUUGGAUGUCAGAGAAGGAUAUCGUCCUGUUACUUUGUGCUAUCUUUCUCUGUUUGUAAAUUUUGUCUUCGGUUACUUUAGCCUUCAUGAAGUGGGAGUAGCCGACAUUUUAAGUCAAUCUCUUUGUAACGUCUCUAAAUUAAACACUCCAUCUUGUUUGUUAGUUUGGUUUAUCUUUACUGUCAUCUACCAUGAAGCUACAAACUUCACAUGCUUUCAGAAAACAAACAUGACUGACAGCAAUCGUUAUACAGAAAAGCUGAAGCAAGCCAUGCUUUGAUGGAUUUUCUGUUAGGAUUCAUAAUAGCAUGGAGUUAAAAGAAAGAAAAUAGGUGCUUUGGAGCAUAAGAUCGUAAAAUGCUAAUUUCAGUGACACAGUGGUGGACUGAGUAAAUAUAGAAAGGAUUUAUUAUGAAGUUCUUUAGUGUUGUUGGCACUAGCAGCAAAUUGCUGGGCAGCAUUAUAUCGCCAAAAUCCAGGAAAUAGCACAAACAUUGAACCACUGUAUUUUCAAUGACAAUAAUGAGAGAAGCUUUGGUAUUGGUUGGCAUCCCCACAAAAGGCACAUGUUGGCAUGUUCAGGAAUGUAAAUGAUAGAUCUGCUGCUUGAAGUUUAUAAUUAUUUAAUCAAACCCAGACUGCAGAACCUGGAGGGACAGCGUGUAUCCUUAGAGGAGAAGAAAGAGGGAGAGAAAGAAAGGUCAUACUUUGCAAAUGACGGAAUGUAUCAGUGCCCUGGGUGUGCCUACCAUGAAUAUGUGACUGCUGCAGAAUUUGUGGGUGAUCUUUUCUGCUUGCUACAUCACCACGUAUUUAAGUAGCCCUGCAGAAAGCAAAUUGCCGACAAUCUCUUUUAUGUGCUGAUGGAAGGCAGAUCAAUUAUCUCCACUUCCUUUCAUGGAAGAAAGAAAAUCUACAGAUCAGAACAGGAAACCACUCAUUUGAUGAACUAUUUCUACACUACUGUACACACACACAUACACAAGUUCCCCCUUUCUCUCCUGCAAACAGACAUGCAUACAGCUAACAAGCCCUCUCUCUUCUAGACACACAGAGAGGCACAUUACUUUCAGCUCACAUUUCAUGUUCAGAUUAUUGCAACUAUGGAAUUUCAAGAAGACUUAUUUUGUUUCUAUUUUUUGUAAGGAAAAAAAAAAAAAGAUAAUGAACAUUCCGUCUUCAGAAAUAAAUCUCCCAGCACUGUAUGUUCUGGCCGGUAACAGGCUGAGUAGCAGAGGUCUGCUAUGUUCCCAGCCUGGGCUUUGCUGCCGACUCAACUUUCAAUUUAGUCCUAGCGUGAUGGAAAAAGAAAAAAGCCUUUCAAAAGCAGUAAUUGUGUGUUUCUGGGGAGAGAGAACAAAUUACUAAAUCAAAUUAGCAUUACAUUUCAUUCCUAGACCCUAGGAGAUUCAAGGAUUUACAUAAGAUACUUUCUUAAAUUAUGUUGUUAGUGUAAACAUUAAGAUUCUGCACAAGACCCUGAGAAGCGAUGCAUUGUUAGGUGAUGUCAUCGAGCACUAUUUUUUCUUAGAAAAAGGAAGAAAUGCCUUAGAUGCACAUAUCAACAUGAUUGCUCUAUUUUUAAAAAUAAAAUGCAGGAUUUAAUUGUAUUCUGAAGGGUUUAAUGUCAUUAAUCCAUUCACUGUGUGUGCUAGGAAUACUUGCAUUGUUUUUUUUCUUUUCUCUUCUCACAGACAAAAAUAUUUCCUGUAGGGCAUUCAUGGCUGGAGAAGAUGAAAUCCAGGCCCCACAGAAGGCUGUUGAAAAGUUACCAUGGAUUUCUGUCGGCUGAUCCCAAGUCCAGCAAAAUCAAGGGGAGACCAUGCGUGAAGAUCAGACAUGCCAGCUGCUCCACGCAGGCACCACUUCACUGAAACUGAAGCCACAUCACUUCACACCAGAAGUAAUGCUGCACAAAGAUUUUCAGAAGCAUGGAGCUACCCAAAUGCUGACUCAUCUGCUGAACCUUGAGGCAACUUCCUGCCUAAAAAAGUCUUUCCAUCAUUUCACCUGAUUUUUCUGACUGAGCAUGUAUUGUGCUAGCAUUUACCUGACUCAGUUACUCCAGACACGGCUGUAAGUACCCUCAUCAGCUGGAGCAAGAGCUAGAUCAUGCAGACAACCUUGCUCUUUACUAAAUAUUGCAGUGUGUGCUAUAGGACAGACAAGACCAGGAUCAUGGACUUUAUUUUGAAUCAAAAUGGGUUUUGGCUGCACACAGUUAGAUGCAGCCUUUUUGUAACUGAAGUGUGGACAUCAGACAGCACAAACACAUGCUUUUACUUAGGCAAAACCAUGCAAAUGCACCUGGCAUUACCUUUUGAACUCUCCCUAAAUACAUAGCAUGAGCUAACUGCGCAUUACACUAGUCUAUGUAUACACUCAAUGGAUAAUGUUUUGUUACAUGCUUAAAAUCAGCCCUGUAGAGAAAUUGAGUGCUGUUGGAUGAACUAGCUUGCACAAACAAAACACACUGGAGAUUUUGGCUAUCCUCUUGGUCUAGAAGAUAUCAUUGU